UCUCGUUUGAUUUGGUACACAAAAUUUCUUUUUUUCUUCCUUACUAUACUAUAAGUCCGCCUAAAUUCUUCUUCCAAGUGUGCAAGAGUGUUGCAAUUGUCGAAGUUUGUCGAAACUUUACAGAAAGUUUGUCGAAGUUUGCCGAAACUUUACAAAAGGUGCUUCUGCUUUAGCUGGUUCCGACCGUCGUAUCUUGAGAGACAAACAUCGACAUACCUUCAACACCCACGGGUCAGCUACAGGGGCGGACCAAGCACCUGAACGCAGUCACCAAUCAGAUGGUCAGUACUAGCCAUGACGCUGCUUUCUUUUGUCAACCUUCGUGUGUCCAGGCACUAUACACAGUCAUUGAUUUUGUUAAGCUGAUAAGAUGUUGGUUUGCUUUUUGAAUGUCUAUCUAAGAGUGAUGUAUAUAGCUCUCAUGUUUUUGUAUAUGCCCAAUAAUAGGGCUGGGUCUGUAUAUAUGUAUGUAUAUAAUCGAUGUUCAGGUGUAUGUUUUAGAUUUUAUUUGUUUGUUAAAAGUUUGUGAU